GCAAUGCCGCGUGAGUGAAGAAGGCCUUCGGGUUGUAAAGCUCUUUUACCCGGGAUGAUAAUGACCGUACCGGGAGAAUAAGCCCCGGCUAACUCCGUGCCAGCAGCCGCGGUAAUACGGAGGGGGCUAGCGUUGUUCGGAAUCACUGGGCGUAAAGCGUACGUAAGCGGCCAUUCAAGUCAGAGGUGAAAGCCCAGGGCUCAACCCUGGAACUGCCUUUGAAACUAGAUGGCUGGAACACGGGAGAGGUGAGUGGAAUUCCGAGUGUAGAGGUGAAAUUCGUAUAUAUUCGGAAGAACACCAGUGGCGAAGGCGGCUCACUGGACCGUUGUUGACGCUGAGGUACGAAAGCGUGGGGAGCAAACAGGAUUAAAUACCCUGGUAGUCCACGCCGUAAACGAUGAUGACUAGCUGUUGGGGCUCUUGGAGCUCCGGUGGCGCAGCUGACGCAUUAAGUUAUCCGCCUGGGGAGUACGGCCGCAAGGUUAAAACUCAAAGGAAUUGACGGGGGCCUGCACAAGCGGUGGAGCAUGUGGUUUAAUUCGAAGCAACGCGCAUAACCUUACCAGCGUUUGACAUCGCAAGACGGUUUCCAGAGAUGGAUUCCUUCUCGCAAGAGACUUGC
rnacentral:rRNA from 1 species